AGGGACAAAUUACUACUGGAAGGAUGCAUUCAUGAAAAGGAGUAAAAGGAUUAUCCUGAUUUCAGGCACAAAGUCCUUUCCAGAAACAAUACUAAACAUCAUCCUCCAGUAAUGCAGUGUUUCCAAAGUGGAAAUGAAAGGCACAGGUGGAGAGUCAGCUGCUUACUUGUCAUAAGGCUAAAUAUUUCUUCUCUCGAGAUGUAAUAAAUCCUGGAGUACUCUCUGCUCACACAGGAGGAUUUCAGCACGGAGGCAUGCUGCAGAAAGGUAUUUGUGUCAGAAACAGAAGAAUUCUCUGGGCAGUGUGAUACUCUCAAGAAUUAAUUCUAGUGUGGGAUUGUUUUGCUUGGUUUUUCUUUCCCUCUUUAAUGAAGCAGUGGCUUAUGGAAAGCACUAUAAAGUCUGCAUCCAAAUGGAGUCAGAACCACAAAAUCAAAUGCCAGAAUGCUUUGAAGGUAGAAACUUUUUAAUUGCUAUAUUUUUUCUAAGCAAAUUUUUCAUUUUAGUCAACAAAAUGGGUUUGAUCCUGAAGGAAUUUUCUCAAAAUUCCCAGAGUAGGACAGCAUUAACACAGUGGAGUGAAAAUCCCAUCAUGUUCUUCAGACAAAUGCUUCUCAUUGAGGUGAAUGAUGAAAGGUAAGGCUGCUGAGAGCAUACUUGUGUGUAAACAGCUCUGGAUUUUGCUCUCCAGAGGAGCAUAUGACCCAAUCUGCAGCCCAGCAUGGCUUUUUUCACAGUGAGAAUGACACAGAACAACAUGCAGAUUAGGCUACUGCAGGAAGUGGUACAAGAGAGCAACUUGCAUCCAGAACGAAGAAUAAAAUAUAUGGAAAUUCCUGAAAAUAGCAGGUUCGUUUCAGCUCGAAAAUUAGUUUUCCUAUUUUUCAUUCUAUUUUUUCAGGUUAAAUUUGCUAAAUGCAAACCAUAUGUAUUUGGUGGGCAGUUAUGCUCAGUAGUUCACUGACGUUUAUCAAAAAUAAAACAAUAAAAAUACAUAGGACAGCAGCAGGAACCAGCUCACUAGAGGUGGAAGACGGAUGGGACACUGAUAGUUACAGCUGGUGUUUAGUCAGUCCAGAAAACAGCUGUGCCAGUGUUGGGAGGAGCUAGAGAAUACCCAUGAGUGCUCUCGUGAAUUGUAGUUAGCUCAACAGAGGCCUCUGCUGAGCGAAUAGUAACUGUUUGAAAUAAGCUCAGAAACGAGCCAAGUGCCUCACCUUUAUUCAUCCUUACUAGGACUAUCUAGUAGCCCUCCUACUGAUCAAGCUGGGAGCAGAGAAAAUUCCAAAGGGACAGAUAAGCACAAAUAGUUCUGUCUUAUUUCUAAGGAAAACAAAUAGGGAACUGUCCCUUAUGAAAUAAGAGUAUUCACAUGUGGUUUGCCAUUAGAGAAUGUAUUAUAUAUUUUACCAUAGUUUUAUUAAAGGUUCAAAAGUCAUUUGAACAGAGAGACUGUGAUUUACCAUAAGAUUUAAUGUAUGCCUUUAGGUCAUUUUUACUUUUUUCUUUGUUUACCUGAAUUUGCCACACUUAAACUGAAUCAAGGCAUUGAUUUAUCAGAAGUGUUUUAUUCCUCACUCUAGAUCUGUGCACAUCUAAGCUAUAAACAGGAAAGCAGUAAAAAGUUGCAUUUGUAAAUAUUUUAGAGAACACUGCUGUUCUGUGCAGCUUUAUGCUCUCUUUUUUUUCCCUGGUGCCAUUGAGUGCUUUUGCAGAAGCUCAUUUGGGAAAUGCAUUCUUUGAUUUUGGUAAUCAAUUGAUCAACAUUUGAAGCCCUGCUCAGACACACAGCUAUUGUGAAGAGCAGUACUUUCAGAUAUCCAUUUGAUUGUGUUUGUGAUGCUUGCUUUAUUCAGCUGUGCUCCAGGCAAAUUAAAAUGUAGUGCUAUAUAAUAAGUAUGGGAAGGUUAGCAUUCACACUUCAGGGAUAAAACAUUUUGACAGUUCUAUUCUACAUUUGCAUUUAAAAAUUGUAAUGCUUUUAAUUAGACCCUAUGUUUAUGGUAGUUUCUCUUGUAGGCAUUACUAUUGUGAGACUGUUACCUUUCAGGGUCUGUUCUGGACUGCUUGUCUGUGGGGAAAAGCAAAAGCCUGCUGUUUCCAUAUACAAAUUGUUUGCUGGUCCUUUGGAUGUCUCAUUUUCUUUAAUUUCUCUUUCCACUCCACCUGUGUCACCACUGCAGAAGAAUUUGGGUUUGUUUCUGAGGAUUCGUAUGUGCAGGGUUCGGGAGGGACACAUAUACAGUUCUAUCUCACGUGCUUGGUAUAUUUUUCCACUGAUCCUCAAAUUCUCAAUUUUUGUUCACAGUAGAAUCCCCAAGGGGACAGAGGCAGACAUGGUCUGGAGAGAGACAGGAAAUUCUGCCAUGAUAUGCACUGUCUUUUUAGCUCUUGGAUGGAUGAUGUUUAAACAAAGCACAUACACAGGCAAUGGUCAACAUCCUGAGCUUAUGAAAAUGAUCACUGACAUAGGAUUAAAAAAAAAAAAAAAAAGGCCAAAUAGUCCCUAGACAGCCAGUCCCUACAGUCUUUGUGUAACUAUUUCUAGAUUUACCCUGGGAAGGAUAUGGAGUUUGGUGAUACCAGAAAUCUUGUGCAGUAACUUCUCAGGGAAUAUAUUCCUGCUUUAGGUCCCCGUACUGUAUCUCCAAAGCCCAGGAAAUUCAAACACCCUCACAAACUGCUCUGAGGUGCUCAUUUCCUUAUCUUCCUUCAAUUUUUGGAGCUGCAUCUUCUGAUUCAGCAAUAAAUAGCAGAUAUUCAGAUAUCACUGCAUAUUCAGAUAUUUGGUAUGGAAGUCAUGUUUUCUGAUUGGGAAGAGGACAACAAGUAAAUCCUCCCAGCACACCCAGAUUGCAUCUUGCAUUUAAAAUCAUUAAAAUCUGAAUUAUACAGAGGCUAUGCAGCACUAGGGGUAAGUACAUUGGCCUUUCAUGUCUUAUUAUGUUGUUAAUUAGUUAAUGUUUGUAAAGCACUUUGAAGAUGAAAAGCCCUAUAUAAGUUCUAAGUGUUAUUAUCUCUAGAGACCUGGGUUCAAUUCAAAGGUGCCUAAUUACAUAUGCCAUAAAUUAGACUUAAUGAGUUGUGGAAUCAUGUGCUUUCUGUGAUGCAUGCAGGUUUCUCAGAUAGACCUUGGUCCUAUAGCCUGCUGCUGUGCUUCUUUAGGCACACCCAGAGUUGUUAUGAAAAAUAACGCUGAAGAGAGCAGAAAUUUUCUAGAGACAACUGGGUUAUAUUUCAGUUCUGUUUAGAACUUAAUGAAGGAAAUAACCAGGAGCUUUGCUUUGCUGUAUCUAGGGCUUUUCCAGUAACCGACUUCAAACUGCUGAAGUUAGCGUGAUUGUUUUCAGGCUAUGGUGCAGACAGAAUUCUAAUUCUUACUUUAGCUCCAUAUCUGGGCUUACCACAGAGGAGCUGAGCAGUAUGAGCAUGACUGCUGUCCUAAUAAUGCCCUGAGAUGUACCACCAGGGCUGGAGACGUUUCGGUGUUGGGUAAUGUUCACAUGCAAAAGAAAAAGUUCCCAUCUGUAGAGAUACUAUCAUUGAAUUUACAGCAAGCCCUUACAAGUGAGUAAAGUGCAAAAGGGGGAAGUAGCAGUUAUAGGAAAAUGUGGUUUCAUUGGCUUUGCAGAGCUGAGAGUUUCUGUGUUAUGUAACUUACAUAUUCUGUGGCGAAAAAGCUACGAAAUUGGCCCCACUCAGGGCAGCUAUCCAGCAGUGAGAGCAGAGAGGUUCUCCUGGUUCCUUCUGAAUUAACAGAGUUCAGAGACACAGAAAACCAGUAGGAUCCUUUACUUGUCCCAAAGCGGUUCCCAUGUGUUCUUGCAGCAGAACAUUUUAUCUUGGACCCUCUGCAUGCUUACAGGGAAAAGCAGGGUUUAUUCAACGUAUAAAUAUGUUAGAAGUGAUUGUGUUCAUUAGUACAACCUAAGUAGAUUGGAAAAACCAAUUAAUAGCAAUUUACUAUAAGUGUCUCUAACUGACUUCUUGAAAGUAUUUAUCCUGAAAUGAAAGUCAUUUGAUUUAGUUAAUGUUUAUUAUAUAUGCAGAUCUUCCGGGGAAAAUGUAUUUUUGAGUACUCCAGACAAUUGAAACUAGUGAGCCCGCUGUCUGGAGAAAGCAUCUGUAACCGCAGCCAAAAGAGGAACAAGAUUUCCGACAUUGUUUCAAGACAUGUGUUUGAAGCAUGGGUUCCCAUCACUUUCGGAGUGAGUUGCAGACCAUUUUUCUUUAUAUAGAUUUAGACAAGACAAAGCAGUCCUGGAUUUGUCUUGCUAAUUGUCUUUGUGAUUUCUCUGGAGGCCGUUUUCUUUUGCUUAGCUGGAAUAUGAUCAUUUCCUCAAGAAACUUUAAAUGGGACUGAGCAUUGUUUCAAACUGCUUUUAUUUUCUCUUUGGACAAGUACUUGUUCAAUCUGCUCACAUUUCUGCAUUCCUAAAUAAAUGGUCAAACCUUACACCUUAAAUACUGGACUGCAUAACCUUCAAAAACAAGAUGUAAUUUUGCUGAAUACUUUUCAUAUAUUAUAAUAAAUAGGAACUUAAGAUAAAUGUCAGCUUGAGCUCCAGGCUGUGGUUAAGUGUUUUAAUAGUGUAGCAAACUUAUCAACAAACUUUUCUUUCCCCACCCUGCCCCCUUCCCUUUUUGCAGUGAACAGAUUUUUAUCUGGCUGGCUUGUGACUUGGGGAUUUUUACAAGCAGAUUUCAGUACUUGUCCAAUAUUUUGAAAUUUGAGUCUGAAAACAAAACAAAACAAAAUCUUAAAACAAUACAAAACAGUAUUUUGUACUGUAUGUAACAACUGGGGACGUUUUUGACUUUCCGAAGUGCAAAGAGGAUUCUGUUCUCUGACCUAAUGCUCGCUAUUUCACCACAAAUUACCAAUCUGAUUCAUUUUUUAGUACUCCAAAACAGCAUAGAUAUUGUGUAACUCCACUGAGCCACCAAAUUGCAGGGAGCUGUAACACCCUCUUCAUUUCUGUACUACUGUAGCCUUCUUCCAAAGACUGAUCAGAGCGCUUGCAUUGCUGUUAUUUCAUCUGGGCAUUUUAAGUCUGUUUACACUCCUCCUCUGUUUUCCUGAUGAUAGUGACUGACAUCAGCAGUGAUACAAUUAUUGCUUAAAAAUUAGCAAAGACACUAUGCAAGAAAAUGAGAAAGUUGUAAGCUUUAGCAGUGGCACCAAACUGCCCGUUAGAGAAACAUCAGGCAGGAGUAACAACCUUACAACACUGUGAAAGCACUUUUUUUACAGCCAGACCUCCAACUCUGACCAGUGUGCUAAUAGCUGAUAAGGGUGUGCUUUGAGAAUAUAAUUCAAGGGUUACAAGAAAUAUUAAAUGCAUGUGCAUAUUAAAUGGUCAGCUAGUAUCCUAUAAAGAACUCUGAUCACUUGGUAGUUGUGUUUGGUGACCCACUGAAAAGUUUUACAAAAGCAGUUCUCAUCCUUUUGACUUGUGACUUCCCAAGUCCUUUUCCUGUUUUAUGUCUGUAAUUUAACAAAGCACUGAUCUCUCUCACUGAAGAUCUGACAGUGGAAGCACUGCUCAUGAGGUCUGGAAAAAGACUUCUGGAUCAUUCCUGCCUCCAGCUUCUUCUUCUCCCUGUCUGCAGGCAAGGGGUUUUCAUUUUCACAGCCUAGCUGGCAGAAUGGAAAGCACAGCAGUAAGUAGGGGGGUAAACCAAGAUUUUAUACUGAAUUUUAUUCUAGACUGGAUAAAGAGCAACUGCCAAUUCUGAUAGACUAUUGUGCAAGUAAACGUGUAUUGUCAUAAGUUUGUUGAGAGCUGAUGUUUAUUUCUAUGGACCUGUGGAUUUUGCUUCUGUGAAACUAUAAGAUUUUCUGAUGAUCUGCUGUAUGAUUCAUGAAUUUUCUUUCUCUCUACAAUCAAGAUGUGGUGCAAAGGGGACAAAAUCACAGACAAAAUGCAAAACCAGUGGUUAGUUGGCUAACCUGUUGAUCUUAGCAAGGAAAGAGAAAGAAGCACAAGAGGUCUUCAAAGCUGUCAGUGUCACUGUUGUAAUAUGAUUAAGAUUUUAAACACGUAAUUUUUUAUCAAAUCAUAACAGUUUUCUACUGUUCAGUAUUGCAGUAAUAUCCAUGACAGUCCUGAGAAGAACAAAUUAAUGUUGAAGCAUUAAGAAUUGAGUUAGUAGAUAUUCAAGUUCAGAAGUGCUAUUCUGACACCAAAUAUUUUAGUGUCAUGCAGACCUAUUUUCACCUACAUAUUCCUUCAUCAAGUAGCUCUGUCAUAUGUAAUGAAACAAGAGCAUGCCUCAGUUUAACUCUCAGGUCAGUCGAGCAUUUCUAUCCUGAACAUUAAUUGAGCUUUAUUUAAUCAUGUCAUUUGAUGAGACAGUGGUUUGAUAAGCCUGGAGUUAACAACAGGCCAAAGUACUGUUCCUGAACCAGAGUUUGGUUUGACAAUAUGUAACAAAGUACAUGUGCACAACAACACUUUGAUUCAUAGAAUCAUAGAAUGGUUUGGAUUGGAAGUGACCUUAAAAGCUCUUCCAUUUCAACCCUGUGCCAUAGGCAGUGACUUUUUUUUUUUUUUGCAAGGCCAUUUUUCCCAA